rnacentral:rRNA from 1 species
GGACUACUCGGGUAUCUAAUCCUGUUUGAUCCCCACGCUUUCGUGCAUCAGCGUCAAUCACUGCGUAGUAAGCUGCCUUCGCAAUAGGUGUUCUAUGUCAUAUCUAUGCAUUUCACCGCUACAUGACAUAUUCCGCUUACCUCCACAGUAUUCAAGAUCACCAGUACCCAUGGCAGUUUCCAAGUUAAGCUCGGAGAUUUCACCACGGACUUAGCAACCCGCCUACGCACCCUUUAAACCCAGUGAAUCCGGAUAACGCUUGCACCCUCCGUAUUACCGCGGCUGCUGGCAC